GAUGAACGCUAGCGACAGGCUUAACACAUGCAAGUCGAGGGGUAGAAGGCUUCGGCCUUUGAGACCGGCGCACGGGUGCGAAACGCGUAUACAAUCUACCUAUUACAGGGGGAUAGCCCAGAGAAAUUUGGAUUAAUACCCCAUAGUAUUAUAGAGUGGCAUCAUUUUAUAAUUAAAGUUGAGGCGGUAAUAGAUGAGUAUGCGUCCUAUUAGCUAGUUGGUGAGGUAACGGCUCACCAAGGCUACGAUAGGUAGGGGUCCUGAGAGGGAGAUCCCCCACACUGGUACUGAGACACGGACCAGACUCCUACGGGAGGCAGCAGUGAGGAAUAUUGGUCAAUGGUCGCGAGACUGAACCAGCCAAGUCGCGUGAAGGAAGACGGUCCUACGGAUUGUAAACUUCUUUUAUACAGGAAUAAAGUGAGGUACGUGUACCUUUUGUAUGUACUGUACGAAUAAGCAUCGGCUAACUCCGUG
rnacentral:rRNA from 1 species